rnacentral:rRNA from 1 species
GACGAACGCUGGCGGCGUGCCUAAUACAUGCAAGUCGAGCGGAAAGGCCCGGCUCUUGUGCGGUGCUCGUGUGCCGCGCGGGUGUGUAUAACGCGAGUAAACUCUCCCUGUCAUUGGGAUAAAACCUGGAGAAACGGGCGCUAACAGCGUAUGAGAUCUUGAAGCACGAGGGGGGAUGGAGAGAUUCGGCGGUUGGGGAUGGACGCGCGGUUUAUCAGCUUGUUGGUGGGGUAGUGGCUUAAAAAGGCUCCGACGGGUAGCCGGCCUGAGAGGGUGACCGGCCACAUUGGGACUGAGGUAGGGCCCAGACGCCUACGUGAGGCAGCGGUGGAAAAUAGUGCGCAAUGGGCGGAAGCCGGAUGCAGCGACGCCGCGUGCGGGAAGACGGCCUGCGGGGUGUAAACCGCUUUCGCCUGUAACGAACCGUGAGUGACGGUAACUGGUAAGAAAGCACCGGCUAACUACGUG